ACAAACACCUAUAAAAAAAGCCGCUGCAAAGCGACAUGCAAUAUGAAUUUCGAAAAUAAACAAUUAAAAACUGUUGGCGUUCAUUUGGCUAAAACAAAAACUUUGCUUUGUUGCACAUUUCGCACCGAGUUUGGCUGAAAAUUGUAUGUUUCAUGAAUAUGGAACGUACGACGGUUCGACUUUCGGGCAGCCUCGGAAAAUUGUGUAUGUGUGUGUGUGUGUGUGUGUGCCAUUUGCAUAGUUUUCACAAUUUUCCACAAUUAUUGCAUUAUUUUUUAUUGCAUAAUUCAACUUUACGUUUGCCGCAUUUAAGCCACGUUCAUGUUGGUAACAAAUUUGUAAACAAGUUUGUUGCCGUUUUCGUUGUUGCUGUUGUUGUUGUUAUUGUUGUUGUUGUUGUGUUGUUGUUGCCACGUUCGCCUCGUUUUGGGUUGCAUGUGUAAUGAGUCAUUAACAUGGUGCAGAGAAGUUAUCAUAAAUAAAAUACUUUAAUUUCAUUUUGUUAAAUUUUCUGCAUUCAAAUUAGGUGCCAGGCGAUUUUAUUUAUGUUGAUUUUGCUGCACUAUCGAAAUUUUUGGCCAUAAACCGUGAAUAACGACAAACAUUUUAAAUGGAUAUAGUAGGACUGUUACGUUUUUUUUAACUUAUAAAGAUUUUCAAAGGACAUGGCGCGUUAGGAUCGUGGAGACCAACUGCAUCGAAGUCCAUUCAAACAUUAUGGGGUCAUCUAAGAAUCAUCAACUUAGUAAAUUUUGUCGCGGGCCGCAAGGAAAAUUGGCUGAAAUCACAAAAUUUCACUAAAAUCGCUAUUUCUCUGAGACUUCUGAGACGAUCUUGAUGUCCUUUGGCCAGUUGGUGGACCUAGUCGGCACAAUUUUUUUGACACAUGUCCUGCCAGGAUAUGCAAGGAUAUAGCCGAGUUAUGGCCUAUUUUCUGUAGCCGAAAAUGUCCUUAAAACUUUGUCGUUUGAAGGACUAUCGUCCUUCGGGUUGUAUAUUCUUAAAUGUGAGGGUAAGGACAUUCAGCUGUGUAAAGGACAUCCCGAUAGUCCUUCAAAUGGCAAAGUUAGCCCGGAAAUUUUUGAUUUUGGCCAAUUUUCUGACUAAACCCCUGUGAAAAAUUUCGGAGAAAUUUUUUGUUGAAAUAGGGAAAUCGUUGAAUGCCAAUCGAUAGUCCUGCUCCCCACGAGUUCAAAAAGGUAUAUCCUUCCGAUAUCCUUAAGGAUAUAACAAAGCUAUGACCAAAAAUAAAAUGUCCUUUUUAGAAAAAUAGCUCUAGCUCAACCAAAUCCUGACGGAUUUUCAAAGGACAUGGUGCGUUGGGAACGUAAGGACGAGCUGUAUCGAACUGCAUUUAAAAAUUCAGGGAUUCGAUCAAUUUCAGCGGAGGAUGCAAGGACUCAUGUUAUAAUAAAAAAAUCCCUGAUAUCUUGGAAACUACAAGGACGAUAUUGAUGUCCUUUGGCAAACUGGUAGCCCUCUUUACUAUGAGUUGUUCGACACAAGACUCGUCAGGAACCGCAAGGAUAUGGCGGAACUAUAGGAUCAUUUUUAGGAAUAUCUCGUCCAAAUAAUGUCCGAUUUUUGAAUUUUGGACUCGUAAGAUCAGUACUAUCGAUUGGCAUAAAAAAAAUGGAUGGGUUAAAAAAUGUUGUGCACCCUUACCUUUCGUUUGUCCGAUUCUGGAAUCGUAUACCAUUCGGGACACGUAGGGAUCAGUCCUAUCGAUUGGCAUAUUGAAAAGUCUCGCACACAGGCCAUGGCCAAGAGAUGAUUGCCCGCGUUUUGUACAGACUGUGCCCAUAUGCAUUCACCUACAUGUUAAUGUUUUUAUGUGCCGCUCACUUGACCCAGUCUUCGACUUUGUUGUCCAUUUGGCGUGCGCUUUUCCAGCCACUAAUUGCUUGGAAAAUAUGCUCACUUCCACACGACAACAUUUCAAUGGCAGCCGCAACAAUUUCAACAGAACGUCGGCUGUAAAUGCUGCACAAUAUUUAAAUACGAAUACGACGUGAGGCUGAAGGAGCGGAGAGAAAAUCUUUUUGCCCGGUUUUAAAUAAAGACGAGACUGUUUUCAGUUGUUGCCAUUCAGUUUUCCACUUCGCACGUGUUUGUGUGUGAGUGUGUAUAUGUGCUUUCUGGUUUUUGGAAAUGUGUGCCGUUUUUGCCAACGAUUAUGUGCUUGGCUGCAGUGCUUUGUGUUCAAAUACCCUGUAAAUAGACGGAAGGGUGAGUUUAUUCCUAAAAAAUAUGUAAAACUAUGAUCAGUCCGGCACAAGCAUCCAGCUAUAUCUUAACAUAUUUUUCUUUAUAUAUAUAAUAAUGUUUCUCAAUAAAGGAUACGUAAUAUGUUUUUUGAUAUAGGUACAUGUUAAAGUUUUCUGAUCUGAUUCAAUUAUUUGUUGUUGUUUUUUAUGGUGUGCUUCUUUUCGUUUCUUAUAGCCAUUCUGGGACGUUCUCUGCGUUGUCCUUGAAAGUUGUAUCCGUUCGCUGGCAUUCGUCUGCAACUAUACAAAGAAGGGCAGCAAGUGUCACGCUUAUUAAUAUACAUAUGGAUAGUAAUUAAUAUUAUUUUUACAGAGUUAUUUGUAAGUUUUAUUUUAUUGUAAACUUUUGCAUACAUUUACAUACAAAUAUAUGUUACAUAGAUAUGCCACAACUUAUUCACAUACAGCUGCACAAUACAUAUCCUUAUGAAAUCGUAAUGUAUAUAUAUUUAUAUAUAGUCAUAUGUAUGCAGAUACUAGACAUACAAUUAUCUGAGCUUCUUUACGCUUUUUAUGUACGCUUAACAUAAAUACAUAUAAUGCAUAUACA